UGGGGAAUAUUGCACAAUGGGGGAAACUCUGAUGCAGCGACGCCGCGUGAAGGAAGAAGUAUUUCGGUAUGUAAACUUCUAUCAGCAGGGAAGAAAAUGACGGUACCUGACUAAGAAGCCCCGGCUAACUACGUGCC
rnacentral:rRNA from 1 species